rnacentral:lncRNA from 1 species
GUGCCCUCUCUGCUAUCAGAAACGGGGUGGCUGUGCUCUCCUCCAUCUGCAGGAAGCUCUCCACUCCACAGCCCCUGGGGUUGCCUGCCAACUAGAAGCGGGUGAAAUUCACUGACCCCCAAGUUUUUCUGGCAAAGAGCACGGACCAACUUUUACUCGGCAGCCAGGACUGGGGUGAUGUGUCCUGCUGCAGAGAGGGAACAUCAUGGGGCCAUUCUCUUGUAAAUCUUCUGCUGCCCAGCACUCACCGCUGUUGAUAUCCACUGCGACACAGCUUGACGAGGGGAAAACCAUAAAUACAUUUCACAGUGGAAAAGACAAUUCAGAGGUCCAUGAAAAGUGCUUGAUGACUCCAGCUUACGCACAGGGAGGACCCCAAGCAACCAGGUCCAGAUGGUAUAAAUGCCUCAAGGAGGACAAAGUCAGCUGAAAAAAAUAAAGGAUAUGUUCCAAGAAAGCA